AGUGAACGCUGGCGGUAGGCCUAACACAUGCAAGUCGAACGGCAGCACAGUAAGAGCUUGCUCUUACGGGUGGCGAGUGGCGGACGGGUGAGGAAUGCAUCGGAAUCUACUUUUUCGUGGGGGAUAACGUAGGGAAACUUACGCUAAUACCGCAUACGACCUACGGGUGAAAGCAGGGGAUCUUCGGACCUUGCGCGAUUGAAUGAGCCGACGUCGGAUUAGCUAGUUGGCGGGGUAAAGGCCCACCAAGGCGACGAUCCGUAGCUGGUCUGAGAGGAUGAUCAGCCACACUGGAACUGAGACACGGUCCAGACUCCUACGGGAGGCAGCAGUGGGGAAUAUUGGACAAUGGGCGCAAGCCUGAUCCAGCCAUACCGCGUGGGUGAAGAAGGCCUUCGGGUUGUAAAGCCCUUUUGUUGGGAAAGAAAAGCAGCAGGUUAAUACCCCGCUGUUCUGACGGUACCCAAAGAAUAAGCACCGGCUAACUUCGUG
rnacentral:rRNA from 1 species